UUGUUUCCCAUCCUCAGACCAAUCCUAUACCCUCAAUUCGGUUUCCAUCGCAUGGCCGAGAAGCUCUCCCUCGCUUCCCACUCCCACACACCCAUUAAUCAUGGAAGGAAGGUGCCAACUAACCCGUUAAUCAUGCACCCACGAUUAGUGGGGAAAUCAAAACAAAUCCCCAAUUGUUCGCUUCCCUGUCAUUCUGGCCAUGCCCAUCUCCAUCUCCAUACUUCCACGACAUGCACUACUCAGGGAUUAAGCAGUGAUUCAGCGUUCACAUCAGCAAGAGGUGGUUGUAGCAGCUCGCAUCCUCCGCAAAGGCAGCCGCUGUGACCACUCCGGCAAGCGGCAGAUCCAAUCUGAUAAAUUGCUAUAUGCGCUCCUCCACCGUUGCCUCCACCACCGGUUCAACGAGGCUGCACGUCGGUGACCUUCCUCGUGCCCCAUUCCCAUAUCUCAUGGCCACAAUGCAUGUCUCAGAAAGGCCAACAAUCCUGCUGCACUAUCUAUUGAUUUAUCUUAUUCUUGUCAAUUUCAUAGUUCAAAACUGUACGAUGCAAACAAUUGAUACUCUUACCUGGAUGCAGAUUUGUCACCGUCUUACUUCCUCCACGACUCAGAUGCUUCAGACUGUCAGGGAAUACAACAUCAAGGACGACAUGGCAAAUAAGAUCGAGGGGCUUGGGCAGGGGCACCCCAGCUUCUACCCGCCCGCGUCGUGGAUCCCGCCUUCAAUCACGAUGCCUAGGUCACAUUUGAAUUAGCGAAAUUCUAUGUAUGGAAGCAAAUUGACUUUACUUGGCAGUAGAACUUUCUCUCUCUUUGUAAACUAACCAAGAAUUCGUAUGAACCAUGUGUAAUCCUCUAGUCCAUGGAGACAAAAUAUGUUUCUCUUUAAUGGAAGCAAAACAACAUUUUAUUGCG
rnacentral:lncRNA from 1 species